rnacentral:lncRNA from 1 species
UUUGUAUCCCAGGAAACCAUGGGAAGUUGUGACUACAGCAACACACGAGAUUCCAUGGGCAUCCCACAGAGCCCACUGCAGUGAGCAGAACAGCCCCAUCUGCUUGCAGAUGAGAGGAAACAAACACGGAUAAUCUCAAGGGAAGCUUCACAUUGGAUGAGCAAAAGGAGGACUGAAAAGCAAUUUUUAACUUUUCAUUUAUUGGGGCUUUUCAAUAAUAUGCAGUAAAUUGAAGAAUAAAAGACAGAAAGCAAACCA